AGUGAACGCUGGCGGUAGGCCUAACACAUGCAAGUCGAACGGCAGCACAGUAAGAGCUUGCUCUUACGGGUGGCGAGUGGCGGACGGGUGAGGAAUACAUCGGAAUCUACUUUUUCGUGGGGGAUAACGUAGGGAAACUUACGCUAAUACCGCAUACGACCUACGGGUGAAAGCAGGGGAUCUUCGGACCUUGCGCGAUUGAAUGAGCCGAUGUCGGAUUAGCUAGUUGGCGGGGUAAAGGCCCACCAAGGCGACGAUCCGUAGCUGGUCUGAGAGAAUGAUCAGCCACCCUGGAACUGAGACACGGUCCAGACUCCUACGGGAGGCAGCAGUGUGGAAUAUUGGACAAUGGGCGCAAGCCUGAUCCAGCCAUACCGCGUGGGUGAAGAAGGCCUUCGGGUUGUAAAGCCCUUUUGUUGGGAAAGAAAAGCAGCAGGUUAAUACCCCGCUGUUCUGACGGUACCCAAAGAAUAAGCACCGGCUAACUUCGUG
rnacentral:rRNA from 1 species